rnacentral:rRNA from 1 species
UACGAAGGGGGCUAGCGUUGCUCGGAAUCACUGGGCGUAAAGCGCACGUAGGCGGCUUCUUAAGUCAGGGGUGAAAUCCUGGAGCUCAACUCCAGAACUGCCUUUGAUACUGAGGAGCUUGAGUCCGGGAGAGGUGAGUGGAACCGCGAGUGUAGAGGUGAAAUUCGUAGAUAUUCGCAAGAACACCAGUGGCGAAGGCGGCUCACUGGCCCGGUACUGACGCUGAGGUGCGAAAGCGUGGGGAGCAAACAGG